GGGGAAAAAUUUAUUGCUAUUAGAUGAGCCUAUAUUAGAUUAGCUAGUUGGUGGAGUAAUAGCCUACCAAGGCAAUGAUCUAUAGCUGAUCUGAGAGGAUGGUCAGCCACACUGGAACUGAGAUACGGUCCAGACUCCUACGGGAGGCAGCAGUGGGGAAUAUUGGACAAUGGGCGAAAGCCUGAUCCAGCCAUGCCGCAUGAGUGAAGAAGGCCUUUGGGUUGUAAAGCUCUUUUAGUGAGGAAGAUGAUGACUGUACUCACAGAAGAAGUCCUGGCUAACUCCGUGCCAGCAGCCGCGGUAAUACGGAGAGGGCUAGCGUUAUUCGGAAUUAUUGGGCGUAAAGGGCGCGUAGGCGGAUUAGUAAGUUAAAAGUGAAAUCCCAAGGCUCAACCUUGGAAUUGCUUUUAAAACUGCUAAUCUAGAGAUUGAAAGAGGAUAGAGGAAUUCCUAGUGUAGAGGUGAAAUUCGUAAAUAUUAGGAGGAACACCAGUGGCGAAGGCGUCUAUCUGGUUCAAAUCUGACGCUGAGGCGCGAAGGCGUGGGGAGCAAACAGGAUUAGAUACCCUGGUAGUCCACGCUGUAAACGAUGAAUGUUAAAUAUUGGAAGUUUUACUUUCUGUAUUACAGCUAACGCGUUAAACAUUCCGCCUGGGGACUACGGUCGCAAGAUUAAAACUCAAAGGAAUUGACG
rnacentral:rRNA from 1 species